rfam:Actinokineospora bangkokensis strain 44EHW Scaffold10, whole genome shotgun sequence.
CGGGCUGUGGCGCAGCUUGGUAGCGCAUCCGCUUUGGGAGCGGAGGGUCGCAGGUUCAAAUCCUGUCAGCCCGA